AGCUUCCUGUAUUAUUGUAGAGAUUUUGUCAGAAAAAUAAUCCACAAAGGUUGAUGAAGUUUCUAAAAUAAGUGAAGUG
rnacentral:pre_miRNA from 1 species